UUUUAUAUUGCUUGUUUAUCUGACGAUACAAAUUUGGAGGUAGAACUCCGGCAAGCCCGCGCCGGCAGAAUUGAUCUUCCGCCAACGGCUGUUUCCAACGUCUUGCCGAAGCAACGUCGAAUAGUCAAGGGUGGGAGUUCCUGAAGCAGGAAAACUCGGUAAUGAUCCUUCCGCAGGUUCACUGUGAAUGUUAGCUGGAUUUCCUUCGGAAAGGAGAAACAUACCCUACGGAAA
rnacentral:misc_RNA from 1 species